rnacentral:rRNA from 1 species
AUUGAACGCUGGCGGCAUGCCUUACACAUGCAAGUCGAACGGUAACAGGUCUUCGGAUGCUGACGAGUGGCGAACGGGUGAGUAAUACAUCGGAACGUGCCCAGACGUGGGGGAUAACGAGGCGAAAGCUUUGCUAAUACCGCAUACGAUCUAAGGAUGAAAGCAGGGGACCGCAAGGCCUUGCGCGUUUGGAGCGGCCGAUGGCAGAUUAGGUAGUUGGUGGGAUAAAAGCUUACCAAGCCGACGAUCUGUAGCUGGUCUGAGAGGACGACCAGCCACACUGGGACUGAGACACGGCCCAGACUCCUACGGGAGGCAGCAGUGGGGAAUUUUGGACAAUGGGCGAAAGCCUGAUCCAGCAAUGCCGCGUGCAGGAUGAAGGCCUUCGGGUUGUAAACUGCUUUUGUACGGAACGAAAAGGCUCUGGUUAAUACCUGGGGCACAUGACGGUACCGUAAGAAUAAGCACCGGCUAACUACGUGCCAGCAGCCGCGGUAAUACGUAGGGUGCGAGCGUUAAUCGGAAUUACUGGGCGUAAAGCGUGCGCAGGCGGUUUUGUAAGACAGAGGUGAAAUCCCCGGGCUCAACCUGGGAACUGCCUUUGUGACUGCAAAGCUGGAGUGCGGCAGAGGGGGAUGGAAUUCCGCGUGUAGCAGUGAAAUGCGUAGAUAUGCGGAGGAACACCGAUGGCGAAGGCAAUCCCCUGGGCCUGCACUGACGCUCAUGCACGAAAGCGUGGGGAGCAAACGGG